rnacentral:tRNA from 1 species
GGCUUUAUAGUCAAUAGUAUGAUAUUAGACUGCAAAUCUAAAGUGGUAAUUUAUUACUAAGGCUU